AAUUUGUGAAGUGUUUCUCAUGCUUAGCCUGGAGUUACAAGGUUGGAGAAAAAGACCAAAGAUGUGAAGUGCCAUUCUCAUCACAUCAUGUCAAGGGUACAUGCUGUUAACAUGAAUUAACAUCGAUGAUGUUAACCUUGAUGUCCUGGCUGAGAUGAACUCUCUUGGAUAGAAGGAUUCAAACAGAAAAAUGCAAAAAGAAGUCAGAUGGAAAACUCUGGAAAAUCCAAGAAGGGAGCUAGUUGAUGAUGAGCAAAGCCACAUGUGCUGUCUUGACAGCCAUAGAGAAGAAUGGAGGCCUCCAUACCUGAGUGGAAAGAGAAGAACAUGGGCAAUGAUUUUGUCUCUACAAAACAACAACAACAACAGACAAACAAAAUUAGCUGAGUGUGGUGGUGUGCACCUGCAACUUCACUACUUAGCAGGCUGGGGUGGGAGGAUGGCUUGAACCCAGGAGUUCAAGGCUAUAGUGAGCUGUGAUUGUGCCACUGCACUCCAGCCUGACAGAACAAGACCAUGUCUCAAAAGGAAAAAAAAAAAAGAAAAGGAAAGAAGAAAAGAAUUUAAAAAGAGAAGGGAGAAUGAGAAGAGUCACAACUUUGAUAAAGUGGGGAGCAUUGGGUUGGGUAUGGAAUGGUAGUAGUCUUGUCUAGUUCAGAAUCAGACAGACCUGAGUUUAGUCCUUCACAUCUACCCUUUUACCCUUCUUAUUUUAUUUCCC
rnacentral:lncRNA from 10 species